UUGCAGAGAAAUUUCAAAGUUUACCCAGAGAGAAGACGAGCAUAUUUUCGAAACAUGGGAGUGAUUCAAUGAGCUACUCUUGAAGUGUCCACAUCAUCGGUA
rnacentral:snoRNA from 1 species